UAAGUCUGAAGCCUCACUCCAUAGGCGUAAUCUUAUAGGUUCAACAUCCACAGGAAACAAUGAUAUUUCUUUAUUAAUGUCGGGUCAACAAUUAUACUAAAUCUUGACUCUACGAGCGAUCACCUUAGAAGGCGACUAUUGUACGACAACCAAAUGCGAACUAAAUCUGUUGACAGUAUACAAGAGCUCGUAUUUUUAUAAAACAAAAAUUUCGACUAUUCAAUACACGAUGGAAUUACAUAGACGAAUUCGAUACAACACAAAAUGACUCACCUAUGGCAAGGGAGGCGAACGCGAAUCGGCAGCUAAGAUAUUUCGAAAAGAAAAUGCGUUGGCGAAUGGCACGUAGUUCGCAAUUUUGCAAGUUCACAUGGCAACCAUUAGAUCGGCCAUUCGAAAAUUCUUGAGUUUCCACGAUCCAUCCGACGCUCGGUAUCCCAAGAUCGCAACUCAGCAACUCCGACGUAUGUCCUCUAACAAAUUAUCGGCUCAACCAUGAUGAGAAUGCAAGAUGUUCCGUGUACUAUUGAACAUAAUAACGA